GAGACACCCUUCUGGGGCAAGACUUGCUUCACUGGGGCUUUGGUGCUCACUGAGUCUGCCCCCUGAGUGUGUCCCU
rnacentral:pre_miRNA from 1 species